CUGAGGGAGAAACGACACCGAAGGAGCAAAGGUCAUAAAGUGCAGAAGGGGCCGGAGAUGGUGGCUGAUGGGGCUUUGGGGGAUGGGAAAUGGACGAUGGCUGCAAUAAUGUGCGUGAGGUUACAGUGGGCUGAGCUGCGGGAGCGCCGUGCUAAUGGGGCAGAAAGCAAUCAGGGGCUUUGAUGCUCUGCUGUGCAGCAUGGGUGGUGCUCGCUCUGCUCCCCAGUUUGCCCAGCGCUGAGUGUGGGAUGUGGCACAGUGUCCUGGGGGUGAAAUGAGCACUGAGGUCAUGAAGACAGCUGCACACCCGAGAUCCCUACAAGAGGAUUUGCUUUGUCUCCAUUGUAAUGCCCUUAUGGCAUCCAUGGCAUGGAUAGGGCCAUGAAUCGACCUCUGCACUGCAUUCCAUUGCAUUGCUUUGCACUGGGUUGGGGUUGCACUGCAUUCUGUUGCAUUGCUUUGCACUGGGUUAGCAUUGGGGUUGCACUGCAGUCUGUUGCAUUGCUUUGCACUGGGUUAAGGUCAGGGUUGCACUGCAGCCUGUUGCAUUGCUUUGCACGGGGUUAGCGUUGGGAUUGCACUGCAGUCUGUUACAUUGCUUUGCACUGGGUUAAGGUCAGGGUUGGUGUUGCACUGCAUUCUGUUGCAUUGCUUUGCACUGGGUUAGGAUUGCAUUGCAGCCUGUUGCAUUGCUUUGCACUGGGUUAGGGCUGGAGUUUUGUUCUACUGCACUGCUUUGGGUUGCACUGAAUUGCAUUGCAUUGUAUUGCACAGGAGCUGCGGGAGCUGACUUUGGGGCAGAGAGCUGAGCCUCCUCCUUAGCAGUGAACCCACACCUCUGCCCAUGCACAAAGCUGAGGCAGCCACAGCUUUGGAUGGGAUCGCUCCGUUGCAAAGGGGAAGCGCUGCUCUGAGCUCUGCCUUAAUGCCUCUCUGUGCCAUUCCAGUCGGGGUGGAAAUGCAGCCACUUCCCGGCUCCUGUUCUAAUGAGAUCAGUGCGCGCCCCUGGGAAAGGUGAGUGUGACACAGGUGGGACGUGGCUUUGCAUGAGCAGCUCCAUGCAUCCCAGCUGCAGGGUCUUCCGUGCAUGCCGUGCUCCAAGCAUCAGAGUCACUGGGCAACGCCGUGCAGCAGCAGGGCGGGCUCUGCAAAGGGAAUUGCAUCUGAACAGCGUUGCAUCUGAAUAGCGCUGCACCUGCAGAGUGUUGCAUCUGAACAGCAUUGCAUCUGAACAGCACGGUACCUGCACAGUAUUGCAUCUGCACAGUGUUACAUCCAAACAGCGUUGCACCUGAGCAACACAGUGCCUGCACAGUGUUUGCAUCUGAACAGCACAGUAUCUGCACAGCGUUGCAUCUGAAUAGCAUUGCACCUGCACAGUGUUGCAUCUGAACAGCAUUGCACCUGCUCAGCAUUGCAUCUGAACAACACAGUACCUACACAGCGUUGCAUCUGAACAGAACAGCACCUGCAUAUCAUUGCAUCUGAACAGCAUUGCGACUGCGUGGCACUGCAUCUGAAUAGCACUGCGCCUGCACUGCUUUGCACCUGCACGGUGUUGCACCUGCACUGCUUUGCACCUGCACAGUAAUGGCAUUGCACUUGCACAGAAGGAGAGGGAGAGAAAGCAGCCCUGGGAUCGGGACCUGCUGCUCACAGGGCCCCGCAGGGCUGUGCCCUCACUGUUUGCCCACAUCCCACCGAAAUCCCACGGGAUCGAUGGGGGUCGGCCGGGUGCACCGCCCCGAGGCCAUGGGAUCGAUGAGGAGUGAAGGAAAUGCGGCCGAAGAUGCGCGGUUUUACAGCUUCCUCCCCAAGAACGGCCGUGCUUUAUGGACUGCUGGUAAUUGCCAAUUAAUUGCGCUGCAGCCGAGGGCAGGAAAGCAGCCCGCAUCCUCCAUACGGGGUGGGCAGGAUAUCAGAGUCCGAAGGUGUUACCACUCCUCCACUUAAUGAAGAAAAAUCACGAUGGAGGCGGCCGGAGGCAACGCAAUGGGAUUGCAGCGGGGAGGAGAGGACUGUGUUAACACCCAUUAAUAAUAAAUAACCGCCAUAAUGAGCUCUAAUUAAUUUGGUCACACGUUAGAGAUCGCUUCCUUCUUUUUUAAGCUUGUAGGUUUUUCUGUGCCGGAGCAUCCCUGCGCCCUGGCUGUUCCCAGCCCCUUCCAUUCAACGUGUGAUAGAUGGAUUGAUACGCAGCUUUAAUCAGUGUAAUAUAUAAAGC
rnacentral:lncRNA from 1 species